rnacentral:rRNA from 1 species
CAGGCUUAACACAUGCAAGUCGAGGGGCAGCAUGGUCUUAGCUUGCUAAGGCCGAUGGCGACCGGCGCACGGGUGAGUAACGCGUAUCCAACCUGCCUUACACUCUUGGACAGCCUUCUGAAAGGGAGAUUAAUACAAGAUGUUAUCAUGAGUAAGCAUUUUCGCAUGAUUAAAGGUUUACCGGUGUAAGAUGGGGAUGCGUUCCAUUAGAUAGUAGGCGGGGUAACGGCCCACCUAGUCUUCGAUGGAUAGGGGUUCUGAGAGGAAGGUCCCCCACAUUGGAACUGAGACACGGUCCAAACUCCUACGGGAGGCAGCAGUGAGGAAUAUUGGUCAAUGGACGAGAGUCUGAACCAGCCAAGUAGCGUGAAGGAUGAAGGUUCUAUGGAUUGUAAACUUCUUUUAUACGGGAAUAAACGAAUCCACGCGUGGAUUUUUGCAUGUACCGUAUGAAUAAGGAUCGGCUAACUCCGUGCCAGCAGCCGCGGUAAUACGGAGGAUCCGAGCGUUAUCCGGAUUUAUUGGGUUUAAAGGGAGCGUAGAUGGGUUGUUAAGUCAGUUGUGAAAGUUUGCGGCUCAACCGUAAAAUUGCAAUUGAUACUGGCAGUCUUGAGUACAGUUGAGGUAGGCGGAAUUCGUGGUGUAGCGGUGAAAUGCUUAGAUAUCACGAAGAACUCCGAUUGCGAAGGCAGCUUACUAACCUGUAACUGACAUUGAUGCUCGAAAGUGUGGGUAUCAAACAGGAUUAGAUACCCUGGUAGUCCACACGGUAAACGAUGAAUACUCGCUGUAGGCGAUAUACAGUCUGCGGCCAAGCGAAAGCAUUAAGUAUUCCACCUGGGGAGUACGCCGGCAACGGUGAAACUCAAAGGAAUUGACGGGGGCCCGCACAAGCGGAGGAACAUGUGGUUUAAUUCGAUGAUACGCGAGGAACCUUACCCGGGCUUAAAUUGCAACCGAAUAUGGCGGAAACGCUAUAGCUAGCAAUAGCGGUUGUGAAGGUGCUGCAUGGUUGUCGUCAGCUCGUGCCGUGAGGUGUCGGCUUAAGUGCCAUAACGAGCGCAACCCUUGCCGAUAGUUACUAACAGGUCAUGCUGAGGACUCUGUCGGGACUGCCAUCGUAAGAUGUGAGGAAGGUGGGGAUGACGUCAAAUCAGCACGGCCCUUACGUCCGGGGCUACACACGUGUUACAAUGGGGGGUACAGAGGGCUGCUACCACGCAAGUGGAUGCCAAUCCCAAAAACCUCUCUCAGUUCGGAUUGAAGUCUGCAACCCGACUUCAUGAAGCUGGAUUCGCUAGUAAUCGCGCAUCAGCCACGGCGCGGUGAAUACGUUCCCGGGCCUUGUACACACCGCCCGUCAAGCCAUGGGAGCCGGGGGUACCUGAAGUGCGUAACCGCAAGGAGCGCCCUAGGGUAAAACUGGUGACUGGGG